GGCAGAAAUCAACAAUCUCAAAUUGCAUAAAGUAUAAAUAUAAAAUAUUCAAAAGUAGUAUAUGUAUUAUAUUAAUACAGAAACCUAUCAUUAGCGACUGGUAUAUCGCCCUAGUUUGUUUACUGGACUUGCUGCUAUCUAAGGAAAGCUGUAUACUUUCUUCUCUCCAUAAAUUAAUCAAAUCCAUCGUUGCAGUAUCUGACCAUCGCCGCGAAUUCAUUUUUGUACUUUUGGCAGCCAUCUCGGAAUUCGUUCACAAGCAUGCGCAUGCAAGAUUUAUUCCGCGUGAAAGGCUUGGGCUAGUGAAAAACAGGAACGGU